rnacentral:rRNA from 1 species
GUGCAGCAGUCGAGAAAACUUCACAAUGUGCGAAAGCACGAUGAGGGAAUCCCAAGUGCUUGCUCGUAAGAGUAAGCUGUUUCUCUGUCUAAAACGCAGAGAGAGUAAGGGCUGGGUAAGACGGGUGCCAGCCGCCGCGGUAAUACCUGCAGCUCGAGUGGUGGCCGCUAUUAUUGGGCCUAAAACGUCCGUAGCCGGUUUAUUAAAUGCCUGGGUAAAUCGGACCGCUUAACGGUUCGAAUUCCGGGUAGACUGAUAAACUUGAGACCGGGAGAAGCUAGAGGUACUCCUGGGGUAGAGGUGAAAUUCCGUAAUCCUAGGGGGACCACCAGUGGCGAAGGCGUCUAGCUAGAACGGGUCUGACGGUGAGGGACGAAGCCCUGGGGCGCAAACGGGGAUUAGAUACCCGCGUAGU